UAGCAUGUGCGACUGUGUUUCGUGCUGUUACAUGUGGCUAGUAUCUCCUGCUGGCUAUCUGCAGGCAAUUCCUGGCAGAGUGGGAUUUCUGAGCAGCCCUUUGGAAGUGCCUUAAAGACUCCAAAUCUGUGGAGUCCUGGUCCUUGAUGGGAUUUUAGAUUCUGUGGUGGUGACAACGCGUUACAUUUAGUUUCCAGUUCUGUUGCGAUGAAAUAGGAAUUAAAAAGCCUGAGGGGAAAAAGAAAGAAAUGAUAUUGUGUUUAGAGCCAAAUUCUGUUUGCUCAUGGAAAUGGACUGAAAAGCAGGAAGACCAGAUCUAAGUGAUUAUGGAGUGGAUGACUUAAUUACUUGAGAACACCAGUUCUUGGGCUGAGGUGGUCACUCCAGGAGUCAUGGCAACUUUGCUGAAUAACACAAAGAGAAUGCAGCUGAAGUCUGGAGAAGAAUGUAUUUCACUAUUGACCCAUCUGUUACAUCAGACAGGCAUUAAGGAUAUGAUCCCACAUUUUUUUGGUUGAAGGGGAUACUCUGUCUCUGAGGGUGUUCAGGAAAAGUUUUAAUUAAAAACACAGUUUUCUGAACAGAAGAAUUCUGGGUAGCAGGCUAAAAGAAGUACUGCAAAUUUUGGGUGCACUCAGUCUGAAUCAAUACACAAAGAACACAGUUUACACUUUGGUGAACACUGGCCCCUUCAAAACUAAAGUGAAACUGGCCCCUUCUACUUUCUGGUAUGGCAUCUAAAGUUUGGUCAACUUUAAAUAAGCUGAAUGACUGAGAAACAUAUUUUAU